UGUUUGUCUCUGGAGCGCAGGGCGCGACCAAACUGAUGUCGGUGCAGUGUUGAAAGACGACCUGCGAAGUGUGAGAGUUUUUCCUUACCUGAAGACAACACAGUAUUUGAAGACGACCUGCGACGAUUGGGUGCUUUUCUUUCCUGAAGAAACGUCCUACAAGAAGAAACCACAGUGUUUGAAGACGAUCUGCGACGAUUAAGAGCUUUCUUUUCCUGAAGAAACGUAGUACUAGAAGAAACCACAGUGUUUGAAGACGAUCUGCGACGAUUAAGAGCUUUCUUUUCCUGAAGAAACGUAGUACUAGAAGAAACCACAAAGUUUCAAGAUGACCUGCGACGAUUGAGGGCUUUCCUUUCCUGAAGAAACGUUCUAUAAGGAGAAACCACAGAGUUUUAAGACGACCUGCGACGAUUGAGAGCUUUCCUUUCCUGAAUAAACGUCCUAUAAGAAAAAAAACACAGUUGUUAAAGACGUCCUUCGACGAAUGCGAGUUUCCCUGGCCUGAAGCAAACGACGUCCUGCACAGAAGAGACGAGUUACAUCCUCGGAAGUAUCGACAGCUCCUGAAACCAACGAUCAGCGAAAUAAGAAACAAAUUUCAUCCACGGAAUUAUCGACAGCAACGAGACUGGCAGAAUUUGAUUCCCGCGCUACCUUCUCUCCAAACCCGCUGCUGCAGGAGGCGUUCACAGAGGACGUGAGUCUGCUCCUCAAGAGCGCCUACAUCCCGGGACUCUUCAGCGCCGAAGAAAAGUCCGUCGUCGUCGACAAAAUCCAGGCAGCCGCCAAGGAGGAGGGUCGGAAGGUUGAGGUCUCCACGGCUACGCUGCACAAGCUUUUUGUUGAGAGGAUCAAAAGUAACCUACACGUCGUCCUGACCAUGUCCCCGGUGAACGCCUGCUACGAAGAGCGACUACGCACCUUCCCGGCCCUCGUGACUUGCUGCACCCUCG